rnacentral:rRNA from 1 species
UACGGAGGGUGCGAGCGUUGUCCGGAAUCACUGGGCGUAAAGGGCGCGUAGGCGGCGCGGGAAGUCAUCGGUGAAAGUUCAGGGCUCAACUCUGAAUCGGCCGGUGAUACUCUCGUGCUCGAGCACUGUAGAGGCAGGUGGAAUUCCGGGGUGUAGCGGUGGAAUGCGUAGAGAUCCGGAAGAACACCGGUGGCGAAGGCGGCCUGCUGGGCAGUAGCUGACGCUGAUGCGCGACAGCGUGGGGAGCAAACAGG